rnacentral:tRNA from 1 species
GAUGGUAUAGCUCAUGGUAGAGUGUGUCCUUUGCAUGCACGAGGUCCUAGGUUCAAUCCCCAGUACCUCA